rnacentral:rRNA from 1 species
GCUGGCGGCAGCCCUUAUACAUGCAAGUCGAACGAGAAAGUUCCUUCGGGAGCGAGUAAAGUGGCGGACGGGUGAGUAACGCGUAGGAAUCUACCUUUCAGUGGGGGAUAGCUCGGGGAAACUCGAAUUAAUACCGCAUACACCCUUCGGGGGAAAGGGGGCCUCUCCUUGGAAGCUCUCGCUGUUAGAUGAGCCUGCGUGAGAUUAGCUUGUUGGUAAGGUAAAGGCUUACCAAGGCUACGAUCUCUAGCUGGUCUGAGAGGACGAUCAGCCACACUGGGACUGAGACACGGCCCAGACUCCUACGGGAGGCAGCAGUAGGGAAUAUUGGACAAUGGGGGAAACCCUGAUCCAGGCAUGCCGCGUGUGUGAAGAAGGCCUUAGGGUUGUAAAGCACUUUAAGUGAGGAAGAAAAGAUUUAAAUUAAUACUUUAAGUCCCUGACAUUACUCACAGAAUAAGGACCGGCUAACUCCGUGCCAGCAGCCGCGGUAAUACGGAGGGUCCAAGCGUUAAUCGGAAUUACUGGGCGUAAAGCGCGCGUAGAUGGUUUAUUCAGUUGGGUGUGAAAUCCCUGGGCUCAACCUAGGAACUGCAUUCAAAACUUAUAAACUAGAGUACGAAAGAGGAGAGUAGAAUUCAUGGUGUAGCGGUGAAAUGCGUAGAGAUCAUGAGGAAUACCAGUGGCGAAGGCGACUCUCUGGUUCGAGACUGACAUUGAGGUGCGAAAGCGUGGGUAGCAAACAGGAUUAGAUACCCUGGUAGUCCACGCCGUAAACGAUGAGAACUAGCCGUUGGAUCUUUAGAUUCAGUGGCGCAGCUAACGCAUUAAGUUCUCCGCCUGGGGAGUACGGCCGCA